UACGGGGGGGGCAAGCGUUGUUCGGAAUUACUGGGCGUAAAGGGCUCGUAGGUGGCCAACUAAGUCAGACGUGAAAUCCCUCGGCUUAACCGGGGAACUGCGUCUGAUACUGGAUGGCUUGAGGUUGGGAGAGGGAUGCGGAAUUCCAGGUGUAGCGGUGAAAUGCGUAGAUAUCGAGAGGAACACCUGCGGCGAAGGCGGGUUGCUGGGCUGAUACUGACGCUGAGGCGCGAAAGCCAGGGGAGCAAACGGG
rnacentral:rRNA from 1 species